rnacentral:rRNA from 1 species
UCUAGCCUGCCCACUGAUUUAGUUUAAAGGGCCGCGGUAUAUUGACCGUGCGAAGGUAGCAUAAUCAUUAGUCUUUUAAUUGAAGGCUUGUAUGAAUGGUUGGACAAAAAGUAAGCUGUCUCAAUUAUAAUAAUUGAACUUAACUUUUAAGUGAAAAGGCUUAAAUAAAUUAAGGGGACGAUAAGACCCUAUAAAGCUUGACAAUAAUUUAAUUAUACUAUCAAUUGUUAGUGUAACUUGGUUUUAAUUAAAAUUUGUUGCGUUGGGGCGACGAGAAUAUAAUAGGUAACUGUUCUUAAAUAUUUAAUAACAAAUAUAAUUGAAAAUUAGUGUGAUCCUCUAUUAGCGAUUAAAAGAUUAAGUUACUUUAGGGAUAACAGCGUAAUCUUCUUUGAGAGUCCACAUCGACAAGAAGGUUUGCGACCUCGAUGUUGAAUUAAGGUAUCCUUAUGAUGCAGCAGUUAUAAAGGAA